AAUAAGGAUCGGCUAACUCCGUGGCCAGCAGCCGCGGUAAUACGGAGGAUCCGAGCGUUAUCCCGGAUUUAUUGGGUUUAAAGGGUGCGCAGGCGGGAUGUUAAGUCGGCGGUGAAAUUUUGCAGCUCAACUGUAAAAGUGCCUUCGAUACUGGCUUUCUUGAGUGUGGAUGAAGUAGGCGGAAUUUGUGGUGUAGCGGUGAAAUGCUUAGAUAUCACGAGGAACUCCGAUUGCGCAGGCAGCUUACUAAACCACUACUGACGCUCAUGCACGAAGGCGUGGGGAUCAAACAGGAUUAGAUACCCUGGUAGUCCACGCAGUAAACGAUGAUUACUAGUUGUUUGCGAUACAAUGUAAGCGACUGAGCGAAAGCGUUAAGUAAUCCACCUGGGGAGUACGUUCGCAAGAAUGAAACUCAAAGGAAUUGACGGGGGCCCGCACAAGCGGAGGAACAUGUGGUUUAAUUCGAUGAUACGCGAGGAACCUUACCCGGGCUUGAAAUGCGGCGGACCGGCAGAGAGAUCUGCCUUCCCUUCGGGGCCGCCGUGUAGGUGCUGCAUGGUUGUCGUCAGCUCGUGCCGUGAGGUGUCGGCUUAAGUGCCAUAACGAGCGCAACCCUCAUCAUUAGUUACUAACAGGUCAUGCUGAGGACUCUAGUGAGACUGCCAUCGUAAGAUGCGAGGAAGGUGGGGAUGACGUCAAAUCAGCACGGCCCUUACGUCCGGGGCGACACACGUGUUACAAUGGGUGGUACAAAGGGCAGCUACCUGGCGACAGGAUGCUAAUCUCCAAAACCACUCUCAGUUCGGAUCGGAGUCUGCAACUCGACUCCGUGAAGCUGGAUUCGCUAGUAAUCGCGC
rnacentral:rRNA from 1 species